rnacentral:rRNA from 1 species
ACUCAAAUGAAUUGACGGGGGCCCGCACAAGCGGUGGAGCAUGUGGUUCAAUUCGACGCAACGCGAAGAACCUUACCUGGGCUCGAAAUGCAGUGGACCGGGGUGGAAACAUCCCUUUCCGCAAGGACUGCUGCAUAGGUGCUGCAUGGCUGUCGUCAGCUCGUGUCGUGAGAUGUUGGGUUAAGUCCCGCAACGAGCGCAACCCUUAUUGCCAGUUGCUAACACGUUAUGGUGAGCACUCUGGCGAAACCGCCCCGGAUAACGGGGAGGAAGGUGGGGAUGACGUCAAGUCCUCAUGGCCUUUAUGUCCAGGGCUACACACGUGCUACAAUGGCCGAUACAAACCGUCGCAAACCCGCGAGGGGGAGCUAAUCGGAAAAAGUCGGCCCCAGUUCGGAUUGUAGUCUGCAACUCGACUACAUGAAGCUGGAAUCGCUAGUAAUCGCGGAUCAGCACGCCGCGGUGAAUACGUUCCCGGGCCUUGUACACACCGCCCGU